rnacentral:sRNA from 2 species
CUUGAGCGCCAGCGAGAGAGCGUUGCCGCAGGCAACGACCCGAAGGGCGAAGCGCGCAGCGCUGAGUAAUCCUUCCCCCACCACCA